rnacentral:rRNA from 1 species
AGAACGAACGCUGGCGGCACGCCUAACACAUGCAAGUCGAGCGAGACCUUCGGGUUUAGCGGCGGACGGGUUAGUAACGCGUGGGAACGUACCUUUUGCUUCGGAAUAGCCUCGGGAAACUGGGAGUAAUACCGAAUGUGCCCUUUGGGGGAAAGAUUUAUCGGCAAAAGAUCGGCCCGCGUCUGAUUAGCUAGUUGGUGAGGUAAUUGCUCACCAAGGCGACGAUCAGUAGCUGGUCUGAGAGGAUGAUCAGCCUCACUGGGACUGAGACACGGCCCAGACUCCUACGGGAGGCAGCAGUGGGGAAUAUUGGACAAUGGGCGCAAGCCUGAUCCAGCCAUGCCGCGUGGGUGAUGAAGGCCCUAGGGUUGUAAAGCCCUUUCGGCGGGGAAGAUAAUGACGGUACCCGCAGAAGAAGCCCGGCUAACUUCGUGCCAGCAGCCGC